rnacentral:rRNA from 1 species
GGGCAGCAUGAAGUAGCAAUACUUUGAUGGCGACCGGCAAACGGGUGCGGAACACGUACACAACCUUCCUUUUAGUGGGGAAUAGCCCAGAGAAAUUUGGAUUAAUACCCCGUAACAUAACGAUGUGGCAUCACAUUGUUAUUAUAGCUUCGGCGCUAGAUGAUGGGUGUGCGUAUGAUUAGAUAGUUGGCGAGGUAACGGCUCACCAAGUCUACGAUCAUUAGCUGAUGUGAGAGCAUGAUCAGCCACACGGGCACUGAGACACGGGCCCGACUCCUACGGGAGGCAGCAGUAAGGAAUAUUGGUCAAUGGACGCAAGUCUGAACCAGCUAUGCCGCGUGAAGGAUUAAGGUCCUCUGGAUUGUAAACUUCUUUUAUCUGGGACGAAAAAAGGCCUUUCUAGGCUUCUUGACGGUACCAGAUGAAUAAGCACCGGCUAACUCCGUGCCAGCAGCCGCGGUAAUACGGAGGGUGCAAGCGUUAUCCGGAUUCACUGGGUUUAAAGGGUGCGUAGGCGGGCAGGUAAGUCAGUGGUGAAAUCCUGGAGCUCAACUCCAGAACUGCCAUUGAUACUAUCUGUCUUGAAUAUUGUGGAGGUAAGCGGAAUAUGUCAUGUAGCGGUGAAAUGCUUAGAUAUGACAUAGAACACCCAUUGCGAAGGCAGCUUACUACGCAUAUAUUGACGCUGAGGCACGAAAGCGUGGGGAUCAAACAGGAUUAGAUACCCUGGUAGUCCACGCCCUAAACGAUGGAUACUCGACAUACGCGAUACACUGUGUGUGUCUGAGCGAAAGCAUUAAGUAUCCCACCU